AUGACUACAAAUAAACAAUAAUAGUAGUUAAAUAGCCGCGGUAACUCUGACCGUGAUAAAGUAGCAUAAUCACUCGUCAUUUAAUUGGUGACUAGAAUGAAUGGUUUUACGAAUUUCCAACUGUCUCAGUAAUAAAAUUAAUGAAAUUAAACCAAUAGUGAAGAUGCUAUUUAUAAAUUGUAAGACGAAAAGACCCUAUCGAGCUUUACUAAACGCUUAAAUAAAUAAAUACUACAAAAUAUUUUAGGACAAAAAUAUUUAAGCUAAUUAGUUUGGUUGGGGCGACCACCUCUAAAAAAGUAUCAGAGGAGAUCUAACGGUUAAUAUUAAUAUAAAAAAGCCUAACUGCAUAUAAAUACAUUAAUCAGUUACAACAAGUAGGAUAUAAUGACCCGUUGGGACUAUCUAAACACCUAACGAUUACAAAAAAAGUUACCGUAGGGAUAACAGGGUAAUAUUCUCGAAGAGUUCUUAUCGAUGAGAAUGUUUGCCACCUCGAUGUUGAAUUAUGAUAUCCUAAAGGUGCAAAAGCUUUUAAGGGUUG
rnacentral:rRNA from 1 species